rnacentral:lncRNA from 1 species
UAAAAAGGCAGAAAAUACCCUGGAAGAAGAUAAUGAUGUAAGUCUUUAAAGACAUCUUCUCAUAUGGUGUGGAAAAGUAUGGUUUUAAAGUUAUGCCUCCAUAGCAGCAGGCCUAGAAGCGACAGUAAUCAAGUCUGGAGCCCACCUCCAGUCUCAUAUGGCUCUUGAACUUGACAUCACUGAGCACUAGAAUCCACUGGCAGCUGAACUACUCUGGAGCUGGUAGGAUACUGAACAUCUCCCACUGAAGGCAGAGCAAGUGAAGUCACAGGUAGGUCAAGUACACCUAUAUACAGUGCAUAAAUUGUAUUUUGAAGGGUAGCAUAGUUGAANGAACUGAGUGCUAGAGUAGAACCUAGGAGGUUCAAAUCCCCAGUCAGCUAUGAAACUACACAGGGUGACUCUGAAUUGCUCAUUGUCUCACAGCCUAAUAUACCUCUCAAGGUUGCUGUAAAGAUAAAAUGGAAGAGAGGAGAAUAGUGUUUGAUAUCAAGGGUGUGCUCACACUUUGGCCUAGUAAGCACUUUGUUGAGGCCUGAGUGCCUGAG